rfam:Penicillium marneffei ATCC 18224 scf_1107713384387 genomic scaffold, whole genome shotgun sequence.
AUGACUAUAAUUUAAUGGUAGAAUCGUCGACUUCCACUCGAUAAAUGCUGAUUCGAAUUCAGCUAGUCAUA